CAUCACGAUGAUUUGCAAGCAACUCACUAUACUUUGGUGUCACACUAUUUGAGUUUAUAAUUUAGUGAUAGAAGAUUUCUGCUUGCAGUCAAGUACUUAUCAAGUCGGUGUAUGAGUCAAAAUGGGAUUGACCCCUCCAAAUUAGUAGAAGUUAAUGUAUCAAUGUAUUUCAAUUUAGUAAAACUUAAGCUUGGAUAAUCC
rnacentral:lncRNA from 1 species